rnacentral:rRNA from 1 species
AUUGAACGCUGGCGGCAGGCCUAACACAUGCAAGUCGAGCGAGCGGCGGACGGGUGAGUACUGUAAGGGGACUGCCCGAUGGAGGGGGAUAACUACUGGAAACGGUAGCUAAUACCGCAUACUAUCGGAUAACCCAUAUGGGAUUAGCUAGUAGGUGAGGUAAUGGCUAACCUAGGCGACGAUCCCUAGCUGGUCUGAGAGGAUGAGCAGCCACACUGGAACUGAGACACGGGCCAGACUCCUACGGAGGCAGCAGUGGGGAAUAGUGGACAAUGGGCGAAAGCCUGAUGCAGCCAUGCGGCGUGUAUGAAGAAGGCCUGAGGGUUGUAAAGUACUUUCAGUCGGGAGGCGUUACCGACAGAAGAAGCACCGGCUAACUCCGUGCCAGCAGCCGCGGUAAUUC